GGGCCCGCACAAGCGGCGGAGCAUGUGGCUUAAUUCGAUGCAACGCGAAGAACCUUACCUGGGCUUGACAUGCAGGGAAAUCUCAUAGAGAUAUGGGGUCCGUAAGGGCCUUGCACAGGUGGUGCAUGGCUGUCGUCAGCUCGUGUCGUGAGAUGUUGGGUUAAGUCCCGCAACGAGCGCAACCCUCGUCCUAUGUUGCCAGCGAGUAAUGUCGGGGACUCAUAGGAGACUGCCGGGGUCAACUCGGAGGAAGGUGGGGAUGACGUCAAGUCAUCAUGCCCCUUAUGUCCAGGGCUGCACACAUGCUACAAUGGCCGGUACAAAGAGCUGCGAUACCGCAAGGUGGAGCGAAUCUCAUAAAGCCGGUCUCAGUUCGGAUUGGGGUCUGCAACCCGACCCCAUGAAGUCGGAGUCGCUAGUAAUCGCAGAUCAGCAACGCUGCGGUGAAUACGUUCCCGGGCCUU
rnacentral:rRNA from 1 species